GUUGUGCACAAAGGAAAAUGAAAUUUUGACCAUAAAGUAUACUCACCUGAUCAUCCCAGGCUUUUUCAUCGUUGUAGAUCACGGCAGCACCGAGGCUUCUGGCCGGGUUUAUUCCGGUUCCGGUGAUGGGAAUAGUGGCCAGGUGCACCACAAACAC